GAGGAAAAGAAACUAACAAGGAUUCCCCUAGUAACGGCGAGCGAAGCGGGAAGAGCUCAAAUUUGAAAGCUGGCGUCUUCGGCGUCCGCGUUGUAAUCUCGAGACGUGUUUUCCGUGCGGCUCUAUGGACAAGUCCCUUGGAACAGGGCAUCGUAGAGGGUGAAAAUCCCGUACUUGCCAUGGAAGUACCGUGCUUUGUGAUACACGCUCCAAGAGUCGAGUAGUUUGGGAUUGCUGCUCAAAGUGGGUGGUAGACUCCAUCUAAAGCUAAAUAUCGGGGAGAGACCGAUAGCGAACAAGUACCGUGAGGGAAAGAUGAAAAGCACUUUGGAAAGAGAGUUAAAAGUACGUGAAAUUGUCGAAAGGGAAGCACUUGAAGUCAGCCAUGCUGCUUGAGACUCAGCCUGGCUUUUGCUUGGUGUAUUUCUCGGUAGCAAGCCAGCAUUGGUUUGUGUCGUCGGAGAAGCGUAUGGGGAAUGUGGCAUCCUCGGAUGUGUUAUAGCCCUGUGCAGGAUACGACGACGUAGACCAAGGAACGCAGUGUGCCCUCUGGGCGGG
rnacentral:rRNA from 1 species